GGAUUAGAUACCCUGGUAGUCCACGCCGUAAACGAUGACAACUAGAUGUUGGGAGGAUCUGCCUCUCAGUGUCGCAGCUAACGCGUUAAGUUGUCCGCCUGGGGAGUACGCCGGCAACGGUAAAACUCAAAGGAAUUGACGGGGACCCGCACAAGCGGUGGAGCAUGUGGUUUAAUUCGAUGCAACGCGAAGAACCUUACCUGGCCUUGACAUCCUCAGAACUUGUAAGAGAUUACUUGGUGCCUUCGGGAACUGAGUGACAGGUGCUGCAUGGCUGUCGUCAGCUCGUGCCG
rnacentral:rRNA from 1 species